CUCAGAAAACAUCUCAUUCAUUCUAUUAAAAUUGAAGCUAUUCAAAAUGACUAAGUUUUCUGUCAUGUCAAUUCUUGUCCUUUUCAUUAUUUUUUCAGUUGUAACCAUGACAUGUCAAGCAGGAGAAUUAUGUACCAUAGUCAAAUCUAAUCCUUCUGAUACUUGUGACGAUUAUAAGUGUGAUGAAUGGUGCACAUCUUAUCAUGGUUGGCCAAGAUGUGCGCCACAUGGAGGAAACCCUGCUACAGCCAGUUGUUAUUGCACAUAUCCAUGUUAAGUCUAUAAAAAAAUAUAGCACAAUGCUCAAAAAUUAAAUGUUAAAUGUAAGAGCAUAUCAAAAUAAAUCUAAUAAAAUUAUGCAUUGAUAUUUAA